GUUUAUUAAAGGAGACCUGACAUGGAUGACUUCCAAUGAGAAACGACUGCUAAUACUUAUAUAAAUUCAUUACAGAAGGACCCUACCAGACUAUAUUUGAAUACGACAUACCCAUGAAUUCUGGAACUUUUAUUUCUUAACCCAGUUUGGAGGAUAAGAGCUUACCAACUAUAAAUAUGCUGAGGUGAUGUUUUGCAAAAUAUCCAACAUACAACAAUGAAAGGAUAAUUGCAGCCUAUAUCCUGAUGAAGAUAUGGAUGACCCUCUGUCUGGUCAACAGGAGUUUAAAUAUGGACGGGACAGUUAUGUGGCAGCUCUUCCCUGGCUCAUUCACCUCUUGCCUUCAUUUGUGAAAGGAAGAAAGACUGGAGAGGGUCAAUGUGCAACUGAAGCUACUGAUUGUGCUGUGUGAUGAGCAUCAAUCCAUGCUUUGAGGGGGAUGAAUCAGCACAGCCCUGCCUGCUCUGCGUUGGGAACAAAAAUUGCAUCCAGAAUUUUUGCAUCAUUCUGGACCAAAAAGUCAUUCCCUGCAUGAUGAAGACCACUGAUGCAGCCUUCCAUUACUGUACAGUAAAACAACUACAGAACUAAAUACCAGGUUGGAACGUGUUUAAGAAAAAUGAAACGUCUUUUGAAUUGAAAUGUCUGUUUUGUUAUGGAAAAAUCUUUAGUAUUGUGAAGGAUAACAUUUCUGCCUGCCAGUAAGGUAAUUGCAUGUAUUUUAAUGUUCAAGUUUUGAGUAGGGUGGCUAAUUUUUUUUAACUCUUAUUUGAUUUAUUAAAGACCUUUAUAAUAAGUGGUUUUCAUGUCGCUGCACUGUGGUAUAAGAUAACUUUCAUUAUUCCAUACUGUAUUCUGUUUCUAAUUGUAGCUGAGGUAUUUAAAUAAGCAGUGUUAAAUGCAAAGUGUUGUGUGUAUCAAUGUAAAUAUUAAAUGUGAUUUACUUUAAUAAAAAGAGGUUUUGCAAUAUUUCUUGUCAUUUGUCUUUUAUAGAAACAACCCAUUAGCAACAAAAGUGGUUAUUACUCAGUAUUUUAACACUUAACAUUGUUGAAUUCACAUUACACUGGUGUUGACCUUAAAUUAGGAGUGUUAAUUUUUAACACUGUAUUUCUGUGCCAACACCAGUGUAGUGUGGAAACAACAAUGAAUAGUGUUGAACAAAGUGUAAAAUUUAACAAUAUUGAGUGUUAAAUUAACAUAUAAUGGGUGUUGUUAAAUUAACACUACACUUUUGACUAAAUUAACACAGUGUAGUGUGGACACAUAUACACACUUUGCCGGUGUUAAAUUUGACACCGUGGGUGUUAUUUUAACACCAGUGAUUUUGC